AGUGCUUGCACAAAUAGUUGACUGAGUGGCGGACGGGUGAGUAACGCGUGAGCGACCUACCUUAAAGAGGGGGACAACAGUUGGAAACGACUGCUAAUACCGCAUAAGACCACAAUGCUGCAUGGCAAAGGGGUCAAAGGAGCAAUCCGCUUUAAGAUGGGCUCGCGUCCCAUUAGGCAGUUGGUGAGGUAACGGCCCACCAAGGCGACGAUCAGUAGCCGGCCUGAGAGGGUGAACGGCCACAUUGGGACUGAGACACGGCCCAAACUCC
rnacentral:rRNA from 1 species